rnacentral:tRNA from 1 species
UAAAAUGACUGAGAGUUUAAGUGGUGGAUUGUAGCCACGCUCACAGAGGUUUGAAUCCUCUUUUUACCAAG